CUACGUGCCAGCAGCCGCGGUAAUACGGAAGGUCCGGGCGUUAUCCGGAUUUAUUGGGUUUAAAGGGAGCGUAGGCCGGAGAUUAAGUGUGUUGUGAAAUGUAGACGCUCAACGUCUGACUUGCAGCGCAAACUGGUCUGCUUGAGUUCGCGCAACGCAGGCGGAAUUCGUCGUGUAGCGGUGAAAUGCUUAGAUAUCAUGAGGAACUCCGAUCGCGAAGGCAGCCUGCGGGAGUGUUACUGACGCUUAGGCUCGAAGGUGCGGGUAUCGAACAGGAUUAGAUACCCUGGUAGUCCGCACAGUAAACGAUGGAUGCCCGCCGUUGGCGCCCUGCGCCUGCGGCCAAGCGAAAGCAUUAAGCAUCCCACCUGGGGAGUACGCCGGCAACGGUGAAACUCAAAGGAAUUGACGGGGGCCCGCACAAGCGGAGGAACAUGUGGUUUAAUUCGAUGAUACGCGAGGAACCUUACCCGGGCUUGAAUUGCAGUCGCUGCCCACAGAGA
rnacentral:rRNA from 1 species